AGAUGUGAGAGGAAUGGCUGUGACAUCUGUCACCCCACUGGUUGCCAGGUUGAUUCUGCUGAUCCUGCUAGCCAGGCGGGUGUCCCCUUCCUCCCCAGCGCUUCAUGUGUGUCCCUCCUGAAGCCGUGUGAGCAGUCAAAGAAGAUGGCAAUCCCAAUAGAGCAGGAUCACCCCUCCAUUGGAGUAGGGAGUAGCUGUGCUCACCUGCUAGACUCCCAAACAAGCUCACAAGGAAGCCAGGGCAGCUGGACCAUCAGGCCAGCCAGCCUGGAUGAUAUAGCAAGACCCUGUCU
ensembl:misc_RNA 7SK 7SK RNA